rnacentral:tRNA from 1 species
GGUACAGUGCCAGAGAAUAUGGGACAUCUUGAUGUGGUGAUUUACGGUGAGGGUUGUGCCCACCCUGUGCUU